rnacentral:rRNA from 1 species
GACGAACGCUGGCGGCGUGCUUAACACACGCCAGUCGAACGGAAAGGCCCUGCUUUUGUGGGGUGCUCGAGUGGCGAACGGGUGAGUAACACGUGAGUAACCUGCCCUUGACUUUGGGAUAACUUCAGGAAACUGGGGCUAAUACCGGAUAGGAGCUCCUGCUGCAUGGUGGGGGUUGGAAAGUUUCGGCGGUUGGGGAUGGACUCGCGGCUUAUCAGCUUGUUGGUGGGGUAGUGGCUUACCAAGGCUUUGACGGGUAGCCGGCCUGAGAGGGUGACCGGCCACAUUGGGACUGAGAUACGGCCCAGGCUCCUACGGGAGGCAGCAGUGGGGAAUAUUGCACAAUGGGCGGAAGCCUGAUGCAGCAACGCCGCGUGCGGGAUGACGGCCUUCGGGUUGUAAACCGCUUUCGCCUGUGACGAAGCGUGAGUGACGGUAAUGGGUAAAGAAGCACCGGCUAACUACGUG